UACGGGGGGUGCAAGCGUUGUUCGGAAUUAUUGGGCGAAAAGCGCGUGUAGGCGGCUGAAUAAGUCAGAUGUGAAAUCCCUGGGCUUAACUCAGGAAGUGCAUUUGAAACUAUUCAGCUUGAGUAGGGGAGAGGAAAGUGGAAUUCCUGGUGUAGAGGUGAAAUUCGUAGAUAUCAGGAGGAACACCGGUGGCGAAGGCGACUUUCUGGCCCUAUACUGACGCUGAGACGCGAGAGCGUGGGUAGCAAACAGGAUUAGAUACCCUGGUAGUCCACGCUGUAAACGAUGUUCACUAGGUGUUGGGGGUAUUGACCCCCUCAGUGCCGAAGCUAACGCAUUAAGUGAACCGCCUGGGGAGUACGGUCGCAAGAUUAAA
rnacentral:rRNA from 1 species